GAUUUGAAUUACUCUUUUUUAUCUUUUCCUUAUCCAAAAUAUAUGGGCUUCGCUUUGUUUUGAAUCAAAGACUUUUUUGUUGCGGCGACUUAAUUUCUCCCACGUGCUAAAAACAGGUGUAUACACGCGAUUACGAUACGUUAUCAUGCCCAUGUGGACAAUACGUUCUGUUAUCAGACACAGCUGAACAAUAAAGGUUGUCACUUCUUGUGUUAUAUGGUGAUCAUUAAUAUCACUCAUCGUAGAACGGUAAAGUCAGUUUUAUUUCUCUCCUGUUCACCAAAGCCGUGACUGUAGCGACAUUUUUCCGAAGAAGCGACGAUGAGGUUCGUCUGCCUUACACCAGCAUUGUUAUCUCUAGUAGUUCUGUUUUGUGAUGAAACAUCAUUUGUAGCCGGUUCUUAUGCCAAGCAGUGCGGGAGAAAUAAUCACCAUUUCAACAUGUGUUACAUGACUCGAUCACAUAUCGACUCACUACUGAAUCGAAACUGCGUGAAGAGAAGGAAACGAGCCCAAGCACAAUCAGAUGAAAAUUUCUUACAAUCACCUGAAGAAGCCCGAAGUUUUUUACGGAGAUCUGCUGAAAAAUAUGUUAUAAAUUACGUAUUAUUUAUGGAAGAAUGUUGUUUAGAAGGCUGUUGCAGACGAGAAGAAAUUAUGGAACACUGCUUACCAUCAUUUAAGAAUUAAAGGACAAUUUUAAAAGGUUUAUAUUAGGAUUUUGUAAAAUUUAUUUCAAUGGGAGAGAACAUUGUCUAAGAAUAACGUCUGACAAGAGUAGAAAUAUAUGUUCAUCCCAAACUUGUGAUUAUUAAAGUGUGUGAUUCACGAUUGCGUCUGUUAUGUAUUCGUAGAAAUCAAUGCCAUUCUGCUACCCAGGUAAUGAAGCUGUUCCGUCAAGCCUACCAUAGGUUCAAGUUAAAAUUUUGCCCCCUCCCCCACUACC